rnacentral:lncRNA from 1 species
UGAAGACAAAACGGAUGAUGCGCUGCAAAGAGCUUUCUUCACAUGCCCAGACAAUGCUGCCGCUCGGGGUUCGGUUAGCACCAGGACAAAUGGAAAUGAACUCUGCGAAGAAAAAGGCAAGCUUCGCACACAGACAAGAACAAAAGAUACACUUCAGCCACAAAUGUCAGUAUCUUCAGCCACAAAUACUAAUACUAGCACUAUUAAUGAUGAACUCUAUAGUUUGCCUGUGACAGCCUGAAAGAGUGUGGUGGGUAAGAGCACCCACACGAACCACCCACAAUGGUAAGCUCUAACAGCUGUCUUAUGAUGAGCAGUAAAACAGAUAAAAUCACAAACUAUUAAUUAAUUCUCAUACUACUAGAGAGAUGUAAAUAAACUAUAUUUCUACGUUGCUUAGUAAAGGUCGGAUCUCUAGGGCAAAGAUUAGACCAUCUGGAGUCGAAAUGUCACUCUACGGUCCACAGGGCAUCCUAUGAAACCCCUUCUAGUAUCUUGCAUGAUGAUUUGUAUGCUUCAAUAGGAAUAAGACAAACGGUGGGAAACAAACACUGUUGAAUGGUUUGCAUUGCUCAUGGUAGAUUAUUAUUAACAUGUGACAUAACAUAUGUAUAUUUGGAUAAUGGGGCAGGAACAGAAGAGUUCCUCUAACUAGAAAGGCCAACAUGGCAGACAAGCAAAAGAGAAAAACAGUACCAAUAUCAGCAAUUCCAAGUUUUGGACAAGGUAAAACAGCACAUAUUUCCAGGUUUUGGACAAGGUAAAACAGCACAUAUAAGAGACUUUUUUUUCUGACAUACAAAAUGACCGCCGCUUACUCACAUUAUGAGCUUCAUUGAUGAGACGGCAAGACACAUGGCAUACAAGACAGGAAUGGCUAAUCCCAGACCUGCCCUUGUAUGCAAAGGUAACUGUCAAAAGUAUAGAAGCUAGGAAACGCUAUAGAAACUAGCUAGUGCCAACAAAUCUCUGAUGCAAAACGGCGGGCAGAUCAACAAAGAUAUAACGGAGUCGCAGCAUCAACC